GUUAGAAACCGAGACAUAUGUGUCGAGUGGUGUCGCCCGGAUCGUAGCUACACACAGCUGGAAGGAGAAAGAUGGCUUUUUCUUCUUAUUCUCUGAUUCAGGUCGACAGGUACCAAGAUGGCGGACUGCUGCCCCCUAACAUGCAGCGGCCAUGUUGUCAGUGCUGCCCCCUGACGGCCCAACCGCUCCCUGACGACAGAGUCUGUCUUACUGUUCAUUAUUGAUCGUGACGCAGGGGAACAGGACAGGAAACGUAUUAGAGAAAAGCGACUGACGUGUAAAACGUUUAUCGAUCGUUAAUUUAGUGGUUAGAACUGAAUCUGUGGCACCGACACUCCGAAACACAAGAUGGCGGCACUGCGCUUUUGGAGCAGACGUCCAACCGCCGGAAGUAAACAAGAAGAAGAAGAAGAAGAAGAAGAAGAAGAAGAAGAAGAAGUGGUGUAAACAAACAGAGCGGGUUCAGUCCGAGUUAAAUGAGAAGAUGGAGAUGUUGAGCCGUCGGACCGUGGACAGGAUCUACUCUGCGGUCUUGCUGGCAGUCGUGGUCUUGUCCUGGUCUUAUGUGAUCUACGCUAGCAGGGUCGCAUCUCACUGGCUGCUGGAGAAGAGGACCGGCCUCCUGCAGCAGGACUGAACCCAGGUAGUCCUGCUGACACAGGCUGACGGACUGUUGAAACCCUCCUGGACUUCAGACCUCUUCAGACCUGCUGGAUCAGGUUGUUGGACUGGACCUACCGGACCUCCAGAAGCUUCCCGCCCGACAGGAUCUGACCUGAAAACAUGGGAACAAACAAAGAAGUCCGUCCAAACAAAUCACUGCACAGAGACGUGAAUGUCAGACCGCAGACACAAGGAAUUAUGGGUACAAUAUAUCUGCUGUGGCUCUGAUGUGUCACGUUUGGUUGUUAUAACCUCUUAAAUAUGAGUUUUCAAAAAUAUAUUGCGAUGUUUCAUCAGAUAUGUGAACCGAAACGAUCCCGUCUGGUUUCCUCUGAUCAGAACAUUAACGUUGUGAUAAUGAGCUGUUUAUUUAAUUUAAUUAGAUUUAUAUUUUUUACACUUCUCUGUGAUUCACCUCCAUAUUAAAGACUUCAGUUGAUCAUGUUCUGCUCUCUGAUUGGCUGUUUACUGUUGGACUGGUUCUGAACAAUAACCACAGAUAUGAAUGGAAAUGUGUGUGCGUGCGUGUGCGCGCUCUGAUGUAUUCAGUAACUAACAGCUCAGACACACACGCGGCUGUGUUUUGUUCGAAGGCUGUUUGAUGUGUGUGUGUGUGUGUGUCCUCACAUAUGUAAAUGUUCUCAACAGAAUGGGUAGAUGAGAGCGGGCGAGCGAGCUAAACAGUGAAUGAGAGAGAGAGAGAGAGAGGCUCUUGAGAGUGCUGGGUCCAAA